CUUCUCAUCUACACUAACCAAGCCCUUCACCUGGGGCCAGAGCAAGCAGCAGGAUGAGAAACCUCCAGAAACGCUGAGGUCAAUUCUACAGCAAACAUUUGCCUAAGGCCCUCACCCAGGCAGCAAGCUCAGGCCUCUUAUUUUCCAGAACUUAUGUGAAGAACUUUGGGCAGGGAUAGUGGUGAGAGACAUGCCUGCAGACCACCUCCAUCAGAAGAGUCCAGCACAAAGCCAGGCCCCUUGUUGGCACGGCCACAGGCCAUAUUAACUUGUCGCCUUCAAUAUGCACCCAGCAGAGUUCAGGUCAUGGAUUUGUUGGAAGUUCAUCGCUUAUUCAAGCUUUUGUGUGAGGGGUCAUUGCUGUCAAACUGUCUGCUUUCACAAGCACAAAAGCUCAUGUUAAAAUGUAAAUACUUACAGGUGUUCCACCAGGCACUCAAGAUGAAAGUCAGAGCAAAUAUAUUAGCCCUAGCUGUAUUUUACCACGCUGUAGUACUUGAAAGUCAUCUGUUUGUGAACCAGGGGUUUUAUGUGGGUUCAUCUGCCUAGACAGGAAGCGUGAUCUAAUGGUGAAGACACAGCACUGAAUACAGAGCAUUUGGGUUCUUUUGCUGACUCUGUUACUGUCUCUGUCACCUUCAUUAAACGUAUUUUUCAUGCCAUUGUCUGGAUUGAAAAGAACACAAGCAGAUGCUUAUUCUGUUUUAUACAGCUGCUGUGACCCUGUGUCAUUUCUGCUAAUUACUUCAAGAAUACCCAAAUGACAUAGGAAAUGUUAAUCCAACUUGUAAAUUAACCUGAGUUAACAAAGAGCAUUGGCCAUAUAAAAGAGCACGAAGUCCUUCCCAAUGCCUGUGCUAUGCUGUUUGUUUUUCAAGACAGACUCUCUGCAACUUAUUAUUACUUCAGCCUUGAUGGAGACAGUGUUUUGCACAUUCAGCUUUGCAACAAACCUGGAUAGGCUGGCUUACCCCUGUCAACUGCAUUGGGACACUGGAUAGCCCUUGUAAGCCAUUCAAAUACAACUUCUGUGCAGGGGUAACGCCACAGUACGAGCAGCAAGACUGAGUUGGCACAGCCCUACUGGGAAAAUCAACUCCCCAACUGUGGGAAGAAGCAAGGCCAAUGGAGACAGCAAUCACCACGUCACCCUGAAAUCCAGUUUCACGUCCAGUCCAACCUUGUUCUGUGAUUGAGCAGCACAGUUCUGGAAAAGCUGGUAUCCUCUUCCCUCAGCAUUUCAAACCACAUGUUGUGACUUUGAGAAACUGCACGAACGCUAAAUCAGUAGGAUCAUCUACAGCCUGAGAGCAACUUGCAUUCACUUCAUCACAGGAAAUUUUGCACUGUGAAUCCCACGUCUGAGAGGUCAAACUGCCCCACAGCCCUCACUCACAGAGCCUUUCACUAUCAGGGACUCUUGCUAUUAACACACAAGGGAAGACAGCUUGAGUAAACCACACCAGCGGUGCGUGUGCCAUCUCUGCAACAGCAAAGGGGAGCGGAAGGGAGCUGCCAACAGCAGAUUGCUGUGCACUCCCCUCCCCUGCUCAAGUAAUGGCAGGAGGGAAAGAGAGCACACACAGGACUGCAACCUGCCGUAUCUCAUUCAGCAUCCCCAGGCAAGCCAGAGACUUCUCAAACACAGUGUGAUGUUUGAAAGUACGAUCUGCCACAGCAUGGCAACUUCUCAGAGACAACACAGGAUGGAGAGAAGGGAAUGGCACUGAUGGACUUAUCUAACAGCACCCAACUGUUCCCAGCCACGUUUCUCUUAAAAGAAAAAAGCAAGCAAGCAGCAAACACUGCAGACACACACAAGCCUUACAGUGUUUCUACUUUCUGCUUCCUGCUUUUGGUAACUUGUUCUACUUUUACGCAUUUCUCCUAACUCUCACUCGCUCAUGCAAAACGUUCCCAUCCCUACAGAAAGCAGAGGUCUGUUUCAGAGAGAGGAAAAAAAAAAAAAAAAAAAAAAAAAAGCAGUAAUGUUUUUUACACCCUGCCUUCUCCUCUUACUGCAGCUCCCAGCUGUGCCCCCCGGCCCCCCGCAUGCGGUGCGGGCUUUAAGGAGCGCUGGUUCUGCUGACAUCAGUGAGGCUCCGGGGGCCAUCCCGGCAGCUGCUGCUGCUCCUGUUGGUGGCGGCGAGCCAAGGCGCUGCUCUGCCGUUUGGUGAUGUUCCCUCCUGCUGGCUGCCCCCCUCCCACCCACACGUCUGCAGGGUGGGGCGAGGUGGUCACUGGCAGCCUCUCUGAGGAGACCGAAGCGAAAAAAAAAAAAAAAAAGAGCAGCUUUCAUUUCCAAACUCUGGUCCAGAAGUGACUUCUGACAGCCAUGCUGUGAGGUGAAGGAACGGCAGUUCUCCUUUCCCGAUGGCUGAGGCCCACAUUGCCCUUAGGACUUUGCCACCUAAAGGAGAGAAAUGCACACUCUCUCUCCCCACUCUUCCCAGAGCCCCACUCCGUACAGCUGCUGCCCUGUCUUAAACCAGACCCCAUCCUUGGAGGCAGCUGUUCCCCAGCCAAAUGCUGACAGCAGAGCAGCAGAGCUCUCCCAAAAGCGCGACUUGUGUGCAAGCCAUCUUCCAGCAGCAGGAGAGGGGCCGCACUGCAGCCCUUCUUCCCUCUGCCACUCCCUUGCAAAGGCAGCGUGAGCUGUGUCAGGGCACCCUUUGGCCCGGCUGACCUCACAGGCACAAGAUUUCAGCAGCCAGCAAUCCCAGCAGCGGGGAGCAUCCCUGCGCUGAGCCGCAGCCAGAUUCAGGGAGAGGAAAGGUGGCAGCCAACUUCGCGAACGCUCUGAGAGCCUGCUCAGACCCCAUGUCAAGAUUAGGAAAGUAUGCACACACACAGAACACAUGAGCUGCCCCAGCGCUCGGCUUUAACUCUUGCAGGCACCGUGCGUGGAUGGAGUUGGAGCUCAGAGCCACUGCUGUCACCGCGUCUCCUCCAAGCCGGCCCCUCUCAGGCCACGAGAGCAGCCGCACGGCCUCGAGCUGAGCAGUGCUUUCUCAAGUAGGUCAGAAACCGAAGCCAGUGAGACGCGCUCUGAGCUGCAGCUCACAUGGGUUAAAGAUUCUGGCUUGUGUCAUGAAUACUUUUUCUGCAAGUUAAACACAGGCCCUAGUCCUGAAACACUUCCCUUCGCUUCACCCAUGCCAGUAUUUUGACUUAAAUGGAACAACCUCCUUAAGUAGAAUUAUAUCUAUGUUUGAAGUGUCUGCAGGAUCAGCGCUUGGCAUGAUCCACGCUUGCCUCCGACGUACACGCACACCAGCACAUUUUAAACAUACCUGAAGAGCCACUAGGAUGAGCUGUGCUACGAUGGAGAAAAAAAAAGAAAGAUGGUAAGUCCCUCCACAGCAAAUGUUCUAUCUUUGUGUGUGCUAGGAUGGUUCCUUGGGACAGGAGAAGUAGGGAUGUCUAAAGGCUACAGCUGGAAGCAAGAGGAGAAACCCCAAACCUACAUCUGGCUGGGCAAAGCUGAGCCUCAAAGCUGAACAUACACAUACACCACCAUCUCCAGAAACAAUUUUAGGUGUCAUUUAUGAUUUUUUUUUUAUAAAGUUAUUUUUCCUUAGAAGAGGCACAUCUAAGUGCAGCAAUGUCAGCAGUCCUAAACUGCAAAGAAACCUUCUUCAGCCAAGAAACCAAAUCAUCGCCUUCGUCUCACGUACCCCGAACAAACACAGCAGAUACCAGCACGAGUUCCUCUGGAACAAACCAGUCAAAUUAAUUCAAAUCUUCACGGAGUGCAGCAGGGCAAAACCCAUUCCUGUUCCCAGAGCUUAUUACAGUAACAUGACUAAACAUGCUCAGCAGCCCAAUGUGAUAGGAUGCAUCCAUUUGCUGAUGCCAGACGAAGAUGCAUGUCUCUUACACAUGGCACCGCUCUCAGAGGCUGCUUUCAAAAGAUGUUUUGAAAAGCGACCUGCUGCGUACAUUCUUAACAAGUCAUAGUAUCACCGGCUGCGCGAGUGUUUGACCUCUACUUGCUAUGUGCUGCGGACAAAAAUCUGACAUCAGCUUAUUCCAACCUUAGCAACACCAAAGUGCUCUGACAAAGCUGACAGCAGCAGGCUACUGCAAUGCACCCACAUCGCCCAGACGGACCCCCAACGUGCUGAGAAUGCAACCAGUUUAGUAGGUGAGCCACAUGUUUUAAAUUUGGGUUGGUUUAAUCCAAGUAAGAAACCUGAUUAAAAUGGGAGUCUUCUCUGGAGGUCUAAUUUCUAGCUGUUUCCAUUACUCCAUAUGCUUUCAUGUUGUAUAAACAUAACAAAUGAUACAUACAUCACUGUUGGGGUGAUUUAAGAAUCCAGUUUAAAGCUACAAUGCAAGUCACUCAAGGCAGGAGAAUUAGAUUACGUUCUGAGCAGCAAGAGCCAGCAACCGCACUUCAUUUCACUCUUGGGAACAUGAUGUAUCAAGGGGGUGAUUCCUUUCUAUUCCCAGUUUCUUCUUCUAAUUUCUGCAUUUCAGAAUCGUAACAUUUGCCAUUUCUAUAUACUGAUGUAUAGAUAAAAUGAAAGAGAAGGACGCGGUCUGAUCGUGAUGCCUUAAGACAAGCAUUAAAUUGAAGAGAAUUUUUGCUUCUAAACCAAACACACCAUCUUCCUGAAUAUAUACUUAUACUACUAUCUAGAAAACAAUCCUGAAUCUUUGUCCCUCAUGUGCAGUCCAGGCACUUACAAUGAGAGCCUUCUGAAUCCUGCCUUGCAACCAAAGCCCUCUGUCCAUAGGCAGACACCUCAGCAGCAGCAGUGCAGGUUCCCAGCAUGCCUCAACCUUGAUAUCUGGAAAGCCUCCGCUAGGGCGUAAGAAGAUAGUUACAAUUAAACAUUUAUACUGAGGUAGUGCUGAGCAGGUCAGUUCCACAGUGUGUUAGGUGGCUUUUCAAAACUCGGUAAUUGAAUGCUGAUCCCUGCCCCGAAGAGUUUACAGCGUAGGAAAUCAAAGCGUAACACUUGGCAUCUGUAUACUGGGAAUUAAACAAAGACCACCACUCUGAGGGUCUCUGGACUACGCACCCCGUAUAAACAUCCAUUACCAGAAACAGUGGAAAUUUUUAAAUCAGCACCCUGGACUUUCCUACUACACAUCUGUGCUACUGAGCUGUGUCUGAAGUACCCGCCGGGACAGCAAACACAGUGUGCAGUUUGUGCAGUGUGCUGACAUCUCCUUGCUCAGUGUAAAUCAUUUUUGGCCCAAAUACCUUUUAGCGAUCAUUCUGAAAAGAAAGCCAGUGAGCGCACAAACAGAAGCACUUACUGCAUGCAAGUCACACGACUGAGGCAGUGCUGGCAAGAAGGGCUGCCAGUGUGCCCAGUCACAAGCCAGGCAUCAGCAGCUCCUCCUGCACAAGGUCACUUGAGGCUCCCAGCCGACACCAGGGAGACACCAGCACACGUUGGCUAUUGGGCCAACUGCAGCCCCAGGCAAGCCCAUGGCAUUCCCAAUCUACUGACCCACAUCUUUUCCUGUGGAGAUCGAGAGUUACGCAAGAGUGUAAAUAAAAACUCUGCCCCAAACAUGCAGGGGCCGUCCGCCCCACAUGCAUCCUCGGGGAAAAUUCUCCACAUUCCCCUUUUCCUGGGGGGGAAGGAUAGGCCUGGGAAGGACAAGUCUCCUCCUUCUCAUCAAGGGGAAUGCAUUCACAAAAACUAAAGCAUAGUCUCUACAAUUUAGAAAAGGGAUGCAGCAAUGCCCAUGCUGUUUCGGUGAUGUCCAAACCCAAGAUAGAAGACAGUUUCAUCAAACAGGCUAUUAUAGCUCAAAGUCAGUUUGUUGUUUAUCAAAGUCCUAAAAUAGAUGCACUGAUUUUAUAAGCACACCUGUAGGAAUUCCGAGCACCAGAAAAAUACAAAGGCACUAUUAGUAUUUCAGCUUUUUAAAGUUUCCUGGCAUCUUUCGUGCUAUGAAUGCUUGGGAGCUUUCAGCUGUAUAUACCCCACAUAAAACCUUCAUCCAGUGAAAUCUGAAAGAAAGUUGAUUCGAAUGAAGCCAUGUUUUCCACCUCUACAUGCUAUUUACACAUCUGUUGAUCUAUUAAACAUGUCAAAGCAGCCAGAUGAGACACAAUUUGCGUUCAGCUUGGCUUGCUUGAUAGUCCUGCCAACACCCCACUUUCAUUUGCUGACUGUUCAGUGUUUAAGAUGAGAAACCUUACCACUUACUCCAAUCCUUUUUUUUUUUUUUUUUUGCCUUGGGAACCAUGGAAAAUCCUCAGUCACUAGAUUUAAAGAGCUUACAUGUUCCAGGAGCUUUGAAAGCAGAGCCUGGGAAUGGCUUGAAGUGUCUUUAACAGGGCUGCCGAGCUCAUGGAAUCCACCAGUUUCUUCCUGCAGAGUUCACAAUGGGCAUGGCUUGUUCCCAGGGUAACUGGCAUCCAUGGGGAGGUACAGAUCACCUCACCCACCCCCAGGAAGUGGAGACAGACCUCCCACGAAGUGCAGGGAAUUAGGAGCACGGUGCUACAGCUUCUCAGCCAUUUCACAACACGGCAGUCAGGCUCCUGCCAGUUCAAGUACUGCUAAGAGACCUUCCUGAGCAGAAAAGCCAUCUAUCUGCUGUGAAAGCUGGACGAUGAGCCAAGACCUGUUCCACAAGCUGCCUAGGACCACAGUUUUGAAACUCACUUGGAAACUGCAUGCAGUUCCACUUUCUGGACCUGCAGGGUUUCACCUGACAAGCAACCCUCCUCCCACAGCUCUCCUUCCUCCUGUCCAAAAGCAUCAGGACCUAUUUUCAAAAAAUAUUUGUUGCACUACAAGUUGAUGUGAACAUCAAUUCAGGAUAUCUUCAGGCUUUUGGAAAUAAGGAGGGGACAAAGCUGGUAAAUGCAUGCACAAGACGCCCUAGCCACCUGUUGUCCUCAAUACACACACAACUUCAUCACCAUCAGAAAAAAAGGCGCACACAGAGGAAGAACAGCACACUGGUAUUCACAUCCUGAUGCUUCAUGUCUGCUGAGAGAUGAUUUUAAUCAUCUGAAUUUAAUUUGAUGAAGAAAACACAUUCUGUGUAGUGAACAAGGAACUUAAGCCAGGCUCUUUCCCCUGCCCAAAGCUGCAAGUGGACCAAAUUAAAAGUGACGUUGCUCCCUAAAGGAAAUGAAAGGAAGUACUGAUACUUAAUGUGCAAAAUACAAAGCAGUUUCUCCCUUGUCCAAGCAGCAGCGAUAGCAGUGUGAAGGAGCACGGCCUCAACACAGGAAUGGAAUUUAUUGCUGUGAUGCAAGUACUCCAAGCAGAACACUCCCAGGCACUGAUACAUCUGCACACUAACAUCACCUGCUGUAUGGAACGGGACUAACAGGGGCUCUCACUCAAACCAGCUAAUCUCACACAAUAAAAGAAAGGCAGCCAUGCUUCAAUGUGAGCAUUUCGCUCCUCUCAUCUUUAGGGAGCAGGCAUAUACCUAAAUUAACAAAAAAAAAAGUU